GUCCAGUUCCACAACACAUGGGGCUUCCAACACAAGUAGGGCCUCCAGUCAUUGGUGCAACAGGCAGGGAAUCCUGAGGUCAGCCUGGCACCCUGGGGUGCCAGGCCAGCAUCUAUUGAAGGUCUCAGCAGUGCCAUCAGUGGUCCUCUUAUUGCAGCU